rnacentral:rRNA from 1 species
GAUGAACGCUGGCGGCGUGCCUAAUACAUGCAAGUAGAACGCUGAAGGAGGAGCUUGCUCUUCUGGAUGAGUUGCGAACGGGUGAGUAACGCGUAGGUAACCUGCCUGGUAGCGCGGGAUAACUAUUGGAAACGAUAGCUAAUACCGCAUGACAACAGUUAUUGCAUGAUAACUGUUUAAAAGGGGCAACUGCUCCACUACCAGAUGGACCUGCGUUGUAUUAGCUAGUUGGUGAGGUAACGGCUCACCAAGGCGACGAUACAUAGCCGACCUGGUAGGGGGAUCGGCCAAACUGGGACUGAGACACGGCCCAGACUCCUACGGGAGGCAGCAGUAGGGAAUCUUCGGCCAUGGACGGAAGGCUGACCGAGCAACGCCGCGUGAGUGAAGAAGGGUUUCGGAUCGUAAAGAUCUGUUGUAAGAGAAGAAAGAGUGUGAGAGUGGAAAGUUCACACUGUGACGGUAUCUGACCAGAAAGGGACGGCUAACUACGUG